rnacentral:rRNA from 1 species
CCUACGGGAGGCAGCAGUGAGGAAUAUUGGUCAAUGGACGGGAGUCUGAACCAGCCAAGUAGCGUGAAGGAUGACUGCCCUAUGGGUUGUAAACUUCUUUUAUAAAGGAAUAAAACGAGGCACGUGUGCCUUUUUGCAUGUACUUUAUGAAUAAGGAUCGGCUAACUCCGUGCCAGCCGCCGCGGUAAUACGGAGGAUCCGAGCGUUAUCCGGAUUUAUUGGGUUUAAAGGGAGCGUAGAUGGGUUGUUAAGUCAGUUGUGAAAGUUUGCGGCUCAACCGUAAAAUUGCAAUUGAUACUGGCAGUCUUGAGUACAGUUGAGGUAGGCGGAAUUCGUGGUGUAGCGGUGAAAUGCUUAGAUAUCACGAAGAACCCCGAUUGCGAAGGCAGCUUACUAAACUGUGACUGACAUUGAUGCUCGAAAGUGUGGGUAUCAAACAGGAUUAGAUACCCUUGUAGUC